GAACCCAACCCUUCACUUAAUACAAAAUGCUGGAUUCCUACAGAAAGUGUUAUCUCCUGCCUAGCAGGAAGGACUGUUGAAUCCAAAUGGGCCAUUGUAAAUCAAAGACUUUGUUAAUUGCUCCCCUCACCCACUGGUGAUGAGGUUACAUGUAGAAUCCCACGUCUCAUCAGCUUGGACUCUAGGGCAGUGGUGAUAAAAAAAUCCCUGACCAGAAGGAAUUGGGGUCUCUUUAUGUUGUCUGAACUCUAAUGGGCACAAAUUCCUAACAUAAGCAAGAGAUCCCCAGGCCUAACCUGGGUUAGCCCUAAUAGACAUACGGAGCUGGCAUAUUUCAACAGCUGUAUCACCAUCUGAAAUCUAAGACUGUAACUCGUUUGUGUGUAUGUUUAUCUGUUUUAAUCUUGUAAAUAACUCUAAUUUCUUUUUCCUAGUUAAUAAACCUUUAGUUAGUUUGUUACAGGCAGGACCAGCUCUAGGCACCAGCAAAGCAAGCAUGUGCUUGGGGCGACACAAUUCCAGGGGCGACAUUCCGACCAUCCUUUUUUUUUUUUUUUUUUGAUUGCUCAGUUGCGCUCUCGGAGUUUGGGGAGGCAAAUUUUUUGCUUGGGGCAGCAAAAAACCUAGAGCCGGCCCUGGGCAUGUUGUUGCUGUCAGGAA